rnacentral:lncRNA from 1 species
UUGAGAGGAGUCUGCAUGUUAUUCGUGUUGUCAGUUGACAUGUCUGGUCGAGCGUGUUGUGGCUAAGAGUAAGAUUGAUUUGUACCCCCCUCCUUCUAGCGCCAAACUGUGGGAACCGAAAUUCGCACUGUCAAUUUCCAUUUAAAUUAGGAAAGUUAGGAAAAUCCUAAUUUCCCAGAGGUUCCGGAUAUCUGCUAAACCACACGCCAAACAAUCAGAACACGAAAUAAUGACGAGAAAAAUAAGAAAUAAAAAGGAGAGCAAAAUAUAUCUUAUUCCGAAUCUGCGUUUGAGCGUUACAACAAGGUAAGAGCCUGGGUUACGAGAGCUGUCGGCGAGAUUCCUAGUUCUAAAACCCUAAGACUAAAAGACCUAAUUGAGUCGCAUCUCGAAUAACAAAAACAGAAAAUUGCCUAAAAUUGCCUAAAAUUGCUCUAAGUGCUAAGUUUGCACUGAAAAGGUUCUCACUUUGUUCCUCUCGGCUAGGACUCCUUAUAUACUCCCUCCAAGGUCGGUUUGACUUUUCCCUUCCUGCCAUUAAGUCGUCAUAACUCGAAAAUAGAGAUAUUCCAUUUUUCCUGAU